CACAACUGGGGUGCAGCAAUGGAUGUCUGCAAAAUAUUCAGAAGGGAUAGGCAAGAAAGGAGAGUUGGCAAGGAAGCUGGGAGAAGUCUCAUGCUUGCUAGCCCUUGUUCUCAUGGGGGACUACAACAAACAAGAUGUCUGCUGAUAUACAGCACAGCAAAGAGGAAACAGUCUAGGAGAGUUCCUGGAGGAAAUGAGAAAUAUGUACUGUCAGACUCUGGGAAACAUUAAGCCUGUGAGCUGAGAAAGUGCAGAGCAUCUAAGACUAGUGGCUGCAGACAGAGCUAAUGGAACAUGUCUCAGGGCUGUGAAACAGGUAGUGUAAGAUCUCACAGCUCAAAGCACUCAAAGAGGUAAGUGGUUCAGACAUCUGGUAGAGAAAGGACCUAAUACUCUUCAGGUAGGUUUGCCCAGUCAGGCCUGGCUGACUUAGUAACUUAUCCAGCAUCCAACUCUGAAUUAUAGAAAACUGACUGUGAAUCACUAUCAUAAACUAUACUAAAAAAAUCAUUUAAAGGGGCAAUAUACUGACACCAGACUAUUUUUUGCUAUGCUGCACUGAAGAGAACUGUUUCUGUUGUAUUGGCCUUAACUCAUAGAGGAUUCUAAGGGAGAAGAGAGAUUGAAGGAAUGCAUCAUUUCUCCAGUCAGGGAACUUGGAACGAGGUGUUGAAGGAGAAAGUUUGGUAUUUUUUUGUGACUGUGAAAACAAGCCUAAGCAACUUUCCAAUAAAAGAGCUUUUAAAAUGGCACUUGGUGAAUGCCUGCUCAUGGUCCACCAAAAUGAAUCAGCCCAGACUCUCAACCAAGAAGAUAACCAAGUCCAGUGCUGGAAUCCUCCAGCAGGAAGCUAAGUAGCUGCAACUUUGGACCCACAUCCUUUAGAGAUGCUGAUGGCCACAGACCGUCUGAACA